GACGAACGCUGGCGGCGUGCUUAACACAUGCAAGUCGAACGGACAGGCCAUGCUUUUGUGGGGUGCACGUGUGGCGAACGGGUGAGUAAAACAUGAGUAUAAUGUACUUGACUUUGGGAUAAAUUCAGGGAAAUGGGGCUAAUACCGGAUAGGAGCUCUUGCUGCAUGGUGGGCGUUGGUAAGAUUCGGCGGUUGGGGAUGGACUAGAGGCUUAUCAGCUUGUUGGUGGGGUAGUGGUAUACCAAGGCUUUGAAGGGUAGCCGGCCUGAGAGGUGGACCGGCGACAUGGGUACUGAGAUACGGCCCAGACGCCUACGGUAGGCAGCAGGGGAGAAUAUGGCACAAUGGGCGGAAGCCUGAUGCAGCAAUGCCGCGUGCGGGAUGACGUCCUUCGGGUUGUAAACCGCUGUCUCCUGUGACAAAGCGGGAGUGACGGUAAUGGGUAAAGAAGCACCGGCUAACUACGUG
rnacentral:rRNA from 1 species